AGGAACCUAUGUACCCUCUACUGUUGAUUUCCCAAUAACAAACGGAGAUAAAGGAUUUGGAUUCAGUAAUCCAUACGAGGGUCAGCCUCAUUCAACAAACUCGCACAACGGGCACAACCAUCCACUCGAGCAUUUAUAUAGAGAUUAGAUAAACUCAGAAAUAAUAUUAAAUGUCGUCGUCUAACACUUGGAUAUUUUACAUAACAGGCACAGUACUGUACUGUACAGUGAUAUCGCCUGUCUAGUCUUCAUGUUUUUCAUCAGUCCUGUCCCUGCUGAUUUAAUCUACAAAACAAGAUAUUGAUUAAAAGUUUGAAGCACAUAGUGUAAAUGAAAACGUUAUUAUUUACGAAACAUUUUUCUAGAAUGUAUGUUUGAUAUUUUCAUCUAUUUUCGCAUAUUUGCGAAAAAUUUGCUACGUUUUCUGAUAGUUUUUAAAUGGCCUUAAUUAAAACCCAAAUUCAAAGGGCUUAGUUUUAAGCUAAAAUUGAAAUAUUUCUGUAUUUUAUACAAUUAUAUAAAAUACAGGUACAUUGUGCCACUUUAUCUUUGUAUUAAGAUACAAACUUUGUGCCAAAAUGUGAAUAGAUGUGUUGAUAUACAACGUGUGUGCCAAAUUAUGAACAAAUUUAUGUGUUUUUAAACAUGUUUAAUAGAAUCAUAUUGAACAAAAUUAACCAUUAUAUAGAGAUAAUUCUUAGGAAUUAAAAAGUUUACCAUGGUAUUGGAAUAAACAAUAAGAAAACAA